rnacentral:rRNA from 1 species
GAAGCCUACGGGAGGCAGCAGUGGGGGAUAUUGCACAAUGGGGGCAACCCUGAUGCAGCGACGCCGCGUGAGCGAUGGAGUACUUCGGUAUGUAAACUUCUUUUCUCAGGGACGAAGCAAGUGACGGUACCUGAGGAAUAAGCCAUGGCUAACUACGUGCCAGCAGCCGCGGUAAUACGUAGGUGGCAAGCGUUAUCCGGAUUUACUGGGUGUAAAGGGCGUGUAGGCGGGAAAGCAAGUCAGAUGUGAAAACCAUGGGCUCAACCUGUGGCCUGCAUUUGAAACUGUUUUUCUUGAGUACUGGA